AGUGAACGCUGGCGGUAGGCCUAGCACAUGCAAGUCGAACGGCAGCACAGUAAGAGCUUGCUCUUACGGGUGGCGAGUGGCGGACGGGUGAGGAAUACAUCGGAAUCUACUUUUUCGUGGGGGAUAACGUAGGGAAACUUACGCUAAUACCGCAUACGACCUACGGGUGAAAGCAGGGGAUCUUCGGACCUUUCGCGAUUGAAUGAGCCGAUGUCGGAUUAGCUAGUUGGCGGGGUAAAGGCCCACCAAGGCGACGAUCCGUAGCUGGUCUGAAAGGAUGAUCAGCCACACUGGAACUGAGACACGGUCCAGACUCCUACGGGAGGCAGCAGUGGGGAAUAUUGGACAAUGGGCGCAAGCCUGAUCCAGCAAUACCGCGUGGGCGAAGAAGGCCUUCGGGUUGUAAAGCCCUUUUGUUGGGAAAGAAAAGCAGCAGGUUAAUACCCCGCUGUUCUGACGGUACCCAAAGAAUAAGCACCGGCUAACUUCGUG
rnacentral:rRNA from 1 species